rnacentral:rRNA from 1 species
GACGAACGCUGGCGGCGUGCCUAAUACAUGCAAGUUGAGCGCUGAAGGUUGGUCCUUGUACCAACUGGAUGAGCAGCGAACGGGUGAGUAACGCGUGGGGAAUCUGCCUUUGAGCGGGGGACAACAUUUGGAAACGAAUGCUAAUACCGCAUAAAAACUUUAAACACAAGUUUUAAGUUUGAAAGAUGCAAUUGCAUCACCCAAAGAUGAUCCCGCGUUGUAUUAGCUAGUUGGUGAGGUAAAGGCUCACCAAGGCGAUGAUACAUAGCCGACCUGAGAGGGUGAUCGGCCACAUUGGGACUGAGACACGGCCCAAACUCCUACGGGAGGCAGCAGUAGGGAAUCUUCGGCAAUGGACGAAAGUCUGACCGAGCAACGCCGCGUGAGUGAAGAAGGUUUUCGGAUCGUAAAACUCUGUUGGUAGAGAAGAACGUUGGUGAGAGUGGAAAGCUCAUCAAGUGACGGUAACUACCCAGAAAGGGACGGCUAACUACGUG